rnacentral:misc_RNA from 1 species
UUUGGAGUUUCCAAUCACUCCGGUUUACGCUCCCGGGAGUAAAACAAGGCCUUUGCAACACUUGGAAAGUUUGUUGGUUUUCCGGUACCAUUGUGGGCCGUGGUGGUAAAGGUGGUGGCCAAGGGUGGUAACUCCGGUUCAGAAGCUGAGAUUGGUUCAUGAUCGUCGACCGUUCGCCGGUGAGUUUCCUCCUAAAACUCAAAAAUACGCAAAA